GGUCCCCGACAGCCUCUCCACUCUUACGGAUUUGGUGGGGAUCUCUGCAGCAGGCAGGAAAACAAAUCCCUUCAAUCAGCAUAUUCUAGCAGAACCACGCAGUCACCAAUCAUAACAAGAGACGGUUAUGAGCCUGAUGGAGCAAACAGCCACUUUAGCGGUCAGCCAUUGUGGAAGGAGGAGGAAGAAAUACGUAUUCUGAUCCUGCUGAACUUGUAUUUUUUGUGUUAUUAUUAUUUUUUCUUCUUAUACCUGAUAUUUAUCAGUUCUUAAAGUCGGAAUUUCACUUUGCUGCAGCUAAAACUCUCCUGUCCUUCAACAGCUCCAUAACUGCAGAUGAUAAAUACCUUCAG